GUAGGUGGCAAGCGUUGUCCGGAAUUAUUGGGGCGUAAAGCGCGCGCAGGCGGGUCCUUUAAGUCUGAUGUGAAAGCCCACGGGCUCAACCGUGGAGGGUCAUUGGAAACUGGGGGACUUGAGUACAGAAGAGGAAAGCGGAAUUCCAAGUGUGGCGGUGAAAUGCGUAGAGAUUUGGAGGAACACCAGUGGCGAAGGCGGCUUUCUGGUCUGUAACUGGCGCUGAGGCGCGAAAGCGUGGGGAGCAAACAGGAUUAGAUACCCUGGUAGUCCACGCCGUAAACGAUGAGUGCUAAGUGUUAGGGGGUUUCCGCCCCUUAGUGCUGCAGCUAACGCAUUAAGCACUCCGCCUGGGGAGUACGGCCGCAAAGGCUG
rnacentral:rRNA from 1 species